rnacentral:rRNA from 1 species
UACGUAGGGUGCAAGCGUUAAUCGGAAUUACUGGGCGUAAAGCGUGCGCAGGCGGUUUUGUAAGUCUGACGUGAAAUCCCCGGGCUCAACCUGGGAACUGCAUUUGUGACUGCAAGGCUAGAGUACGGCAGAGGGGGAUGGAAUUCCGCGUGUAGCAGUGAAAUGCGUAGAUAUGCGGAGGAACACCAAUGGCGAAGGCAAUCCCCUGGGCCUGUACUGACGCUCAUGCACGAAAGCGUGGGGAGCAAACAGG